rnacentral:lncRNA from 1 species
AGCAAUGAGGAAAGAAAACUUGUAUAUAAACAUGGGUCAACCAUACAGCCAAGUAGGACACAAACUUGAAGCCAGAGAGCUUUGGAUUAAGUCCUGGCUUUGUUAUCUACUAGUAGUGUGACCUUCGGCAAGUUACUUAGCUUUAAGGAGCCUCAAUUUCUUUAGGGGUAAGAAUAAAAAAUAAGAUUAUUCCAAUGGCCAGACAUAAUAUACGUACUACUAGUAUCAACAGUACUUGGCUCAUAUGCUAGUCCAUAAAUGGUAGCUACUGUCAUUAUUAUUCUAUUAUUAUUAUUAAAAAUGACCUUUCUAUGAAACCAAAACUAUCUUGUCUUUCAAAGGUAUUUGCCAUAAUUUUCUAGAAAUAUUAGACUAAAACCAAAUACUCUUAGUGAAGAAAGUUAAUUUUCAGAACAAUUAAGUACUUCUUGUUUGAUAUUGGUAUUAUGUAAGCUUAAGAUAUAAUUACUUGGCAAAACAUCAUAACCAAGUAGGAUUUAUUCCAGGUAUAUAAGGCUGGUUCAACACUCAAAAAAUAACAUAAUCAAAUAUAUCAACAGGCAACCUUGACCUCCCCAGGCUCAGGUGAUCCUCCUACCUCAGCCUCCCAAGUAGCUGGGACUGCAAGUGCAUGCCACCAUGCCCAGCUAACUUGCUCCUCAGAGCACCCAGCUUUGGCUGCACCUCCCCCCCUGCAGCUGGAUUCUUUGCAGGGGCAGUUCCAGACAGGCCAUUGCGGACAUCACUCACACCUCAGCCUCCUGAGUAGCCGCGACUUACAGGCACAUGCCACUGCACCUGGCUA